AAAAACAUGUCUUUUUGUUUUUGAUUUAAGGUCUGACCUGCCCAAUGAUUGUUAUUAAAUGGCUGCAGUAUUUUAACUGUACAAAGGUAGCAUAAUCAUUAGUUUCUUAAUUAGAAGCUGGAAUGAAUGGUUUGAUGAAAAAUUUACUGUCUCAAUUUAAUUGUUUUAGAAUCUUAUUUUUAAGUGAAAAAGCUUAGAUUUUUUAAGAAGACGAGAAGACCCUAUAGAGUUUUACAUAUUUAAAGUUCUUUUUUUAUGAUUUUAUUAGGUUUAAUUUUUUGAUAUGUUUUGUUGGGGUGAUGGGAAAAUUUUUUUAACUUUUCUUUAUUUUUACACUAAUUAGUGAUUUAAUGAUCCUUUUAAGAUUAUAAGAUUAAAUUACCUUAGGGAUAACAGCGUAAUUUUUUUUGAAAGUUCUUAUUGAUAAAAAAGUUUGCGACCUCGAUGUUGGAUUAAAGUUUAUUAACGGUGCAGAAGCUGUUAAAUUAGGUCUGUUCGACC
rnacentral:rRNA from 1 species